rnacentral:lncRNA from 1 species
GGAUGAAUGGGGAGUGAGUGGGGACGUGACUUAGGUAAGGAAACAGCCCAUACCCAACCAGUAAGGCCAGUGUUUUAUAGUGCCUGGACGUGGCUGAAUCUGUUGCAAUCCUCUUCCACUCUUUGACACGUGAGAAGCAGUCUCUGUAGUGCAAUGCCAAGAAGUUCAUCUUCUUAAUAUGAAACUGAUUAGAAAAUGCACAACUCUUGGAUCCACAGCUGUCUCAGAGCCAAACACAUUUGCUUGUUGUCAGCCUUAAUAAUCAUGAGCUGAGUGUGGAAAAUAAAUUGCAUCUUUCAUAAAAAUGUUGGGAUUAUAAGAAUUAUAGCUAAAGGCAUAAUAAUCAUCAGGAUCUCUUCAAUACCUUGGAUACCUUCCCUUAACUAAAAUACAGGCUUGCUGUCCGUGAUGCUCCAGAUUCAGCACCUCACCAAACAGCUGCUUGUUACCAGCGCGUGGCUCUCAAGUGGUGAUGAAUCACAGACCACUGCAACGUCUCUGAGUGUCACAUGAAGAAGGAAUGAGAACGCACUGACAUUGUUGUACCCAUCGCUAUUCCACCCUGCGCAGCCCCGGGGCACGCGGGGAGUUAACUUGGCGUUGCGCUCUCGCUCAGAGUUGCAAGGCAGCCACUCUGCAUGGCUGCUACCCAAUGUCAAGCUGCAACACGCAGGAGGCACCCAGACACACCUCUUGGAGCCGCGCUUCGCCUCCCCUUUUCACCUUUCAUUGCCUGAGCGCUCAAAUAUUGAAUGGAAAAUAACGAUCAGGACACUCAGCCCUCCAGUGAAGGAUGUGAGGGACCCUGCCCAGGAGGAGGAGCACAGCCCGCCCGUGGGUCAGUGCCACCCAGCCUCCUGCCACUCCUGGGGUUUAAGCUGGAGCAGGAGCCUUGGUGCAAGUCCCACCGGACACCUUCUGCUAGGAGCUGUGCCUAGAUGUCACCACCCGCUUGCUGAACCCUGUGGUGUCACUGGAACAAAAUCCCAUCUGAUAUAACGUUGCAUGGGAAGCUGCCACAACCACCAGUCAGUCUGGUUGGACUGCAGAGCUUUAGUGAAACAAACCAGCACCUAUCGAUCAACUGGCAACAGAAAUGAAAAGCGCGCUGGCCAAGAAGCCAAAGAUAUUCAAGAUCUGCAAUGGAACGACAAAUGGUCUUUGCAGCUUUUGUCUUCUUGUUUUCAUAAGUCUGCCUCUGUCUCGCUGUGCCCUCCUCAGCACUGAGGUUUUUUUUUCAAUUGGUUUCUGCUUAGGGGAUUCACUGUGCAAAGACAUUCACCAAUGAGUGCUGCUUUCCCCUGUUUUAGAAGAGAUGCUGUUCCCCAGGAGCCAGAGGUGCUCUGUAGGACACUGUGUAACAAAUUCUUUAUGAGGGAAUACAUAAUAAAUUGAGGAUUUUCUUUUAUUUUGAUAAUUUA